GUCCACGCCGUAAACGAUGAGUGCUAGGUGUGGGGUGUCGACUCCCUCCGUGCCGAAGCUAACGCAUUAAGCACUCCGCCUGGGAGUACGGCCGCAAGGCUAAACUCAAAGGAAUUGACGGGGCCCGCACAAGCAGCGGAGCAUGUGGUUUAAUUCGACGCGACGCGAAGAACCUUACCAAGGCUUGACAUCUACUGGAAAAGCGUGGAAACACGUUCCCUCUUCGGAGCCAGUAGACAGGUGGUGCAUGGCUGUCGU
rnacentral:rRNA from 1 species